CCAGACUCCUACGGGAGGCAGCAGUGAGGAAUAUUGGUCAAUGGGCGGGAGCCUGAACCAGCCAAGUCGCGUGAGGGAAGACGGUCCUAUGGAUUGUAAACCUCUUUAGGCGGGGAGCAAUGCCGGGCACGCGUGUCCGGAGGGAGAGUACCCGCAGAAUAAGCAUCGGCUAACUCCGUGCCAGCAGCCGCGGUAAUACGGAGGAUGCGAGCGUUAUCCGGAUUUAUUGGGUUUAAAGGGUGCGUAGGCGGAUUUUUAAGUCAGCGGUAAAAUGUCCGGGCUCAACCCGGGCCGGCCGUUGAAACUGGGGAUCUAGAGUGUGCGAGAGGUAUGCGGAAUGCGUGGUGUAGCGGUGAAAUGCGUAGAUAUUAGGAGGAACACCAGUGGCGAAGGCGGCCUACUGGACGGUGACUGACGCUGAGGCUCGAAAGCGUGGGGAGCAAACAGGAUUAGAUACCCCUGUA
rnacentral:rRNA from 1 species